GAAGCGAAGAGCAUCUAUGAUAUCUCGUACUGCUACAGUGGCUGGAUUGCUAUCUUGCUUACCAUCCUCCUCAGUAACCUUCUGUCUCUCUGCACAGGUCCACUCAGCCCCAGCCAAGUCACUGAAGGAGUAGUGAAUCCUACGUGUAGACGACUGCACCAGUGGUUGUGUAGUGUUUUUCAUAGUUUCCCCAGGACACUCGGCAGCAAGAACAGGAUCCACAAAGAAGGAAACACCAAAAUGAAAGUUUAUACUUUGGAGACAGAGGUAGUCAAUAUGCAAGCCCACGACCAUGGAAGAGCUUGAGGGGAGCCCCCCCCCCGGGGAGCCCCCCCCCACCUUGGAAAUGUUUUGGCCCCUUCCUGGGAAUUCGCAGGAAUAGUAAGAACAUACAGCAAGGAUAAACAUGUGAUCAACCUCUAAAUAACAGAAUAACAGCAUUAUCAUGUGCAAUACUGAUAAGAUGGGUACUAUUUGCAAUUAUUUUGAGGGAGACCAGAUAGAUGAUAGUGAUGGUUGGCAAUAAUUUCGAAAGCACUCCCAUCAAGGAAGGCUCCUUGAUGCUGGUGAGGGGCUCUUGAUUCGGGAAAUUGGAUCUGUGCUCCAGUUCCCUGAAUUAAGCCUGAAUACCUUCCACAUCCCCCCCCCACAGGCGCUGUAUAAUCCUACGGGUUUAGCGCUUCCCCCUUGAUUAUAAUAAUAAUAAUUCGAAAGCACUGUACAAGCCUAAUACCCAAAUUAGAUCAAACAUGAAUGACCUUAAUAGGAUAAACAAUAGAUUAAAGCAUCUUGGGUAAAAAAAAAAAAUUACAGGAGUAUCAGGAGGAGAGGGGGUCACUUUAAUCAUUAUCAAGUUAAGAAAGGUUGAAACAGAAAAAAAGGGAAAGCCGAAAGAGAAUACGAAAUUUAGGUUACAAGAGAAUCAAAAACCAACCAAAACAGUUUCAUUCAGGUAUAUAGGGAUAAGAUUUGGAAAUAGGCCAGUUUUCAUGUAAUUCAGGUUAGCUUAUUAUUAGUAACAAAUUAUUUUUACAAUCGAAACUAAAUACUAAACCCACAAGGGUCAUACAGCACUGCAGGGUCAUAUGUGCUGAAGAUGAAAUAUGCAAAGAUCAGAGACCAGUGAGGGUCUCUGAUCUCCACUAUUACUGACUGCAAGAGGCAGAGUCAGUAAUAGUGGAGAGUGCUAAAGGGAAAAUAUAAUCAAAGUUGAUGUAAUAGAGCAGUUGCUGACAAAAAAGUCAAAGAGGGAGUCUGCAUCAAAAGUGGGACAGUAACAAAGAAAUUCAUACCAUUUUAAUAAGGUAUUUCCUGUUUUUUAUGCAAGAGGAUACAAACAAAAUCCCAGAAAUCAAUCAUUAUACUGGUCAGAAUGAAAAUAAAUUAUGUAAGAUCAAAGUCAUUAGUGGAGAGGGUUUUGGGGGGUCAACACCCCCACAGCCCAGUCUCUGACCAGGCUUCAUGGUGGAUCAAGGCCUGAUCAACCAGACUGUUACUGUUGGCUGCACACAACCCAACAUAUGAACCACAGCCCAGCUGGUCAGGUACUGACUCCAGGUGCCUGUCCAGCACCUUCUUGAAGACGGCCAGGGGUCUAUUAGUAAUACCACUAAUGUAUGCUGGGAGGCAAUUGAACAAUCUUGGGCCCCUGACACUUUGGCACUGGGAUUUGGAUAACCAGAUAGAUUGAAAUCAAGCAAGACAUGGGUGCUGAUGAGCAGUUCCUAAAAAUUCUAAAGGAAUAUAAGGAGAAACUUAGCAAACCCUUAUCUAGUCUCUAACAGAUCAACUACAAAUGGAUAUUGUACCAGAUGAAAAUGUCAGAUGUGAUACCUAUUUACAAAGUGGGGAAAUAGGGUCUCAGCUUCAAAUUAUAGAACAAUUAGGCUAGCAUAAAUUGUGGGAAAAUUGAAAGAUACCAUAUUUUACAUUUUACAGCAGACUGGAUGCUCUGGAGUUGGGGAUUCUCCUCCAUUUCUGAUUGGCUAAAUUUUGGAGAGAGAGAAAAAAAGGGUAUUUUGGCCUCCAAGUCACUGGAUAAAUUUCCAAGACUUGUUUUGCAGAAAAAAUAGCAUCUUUGAUGCCAUGGAUACAGUAAUUUAAUCAUUGAAUCUCAGCAGUUUUACAAAGAGGCAUCCUUGGCAGUGAAAAUGAUACACAGUACAUAAAGGCUCAAUGUUGGUCCUUUGAAUAUUUUUUGACUAUAAAGAAGCCUUCCCAGAUGUGUAUCAAGUUGCUGCUACAAUCACAUUUGGGUGCUCAGCUGGAAUAGGAGAGUCCGCAUUUUCAGAAUUACGUAAUCAGCUAACGUGUCAAGGGACAUUGUCCAAUCAGAAAGUAGAACUUGCUUUUGAAUCUUUAUGCACAAAUCAUUAUUCAGUCAAUGCAGACCAUGUUGAUGUAUGAUACAUUAUAAUUAUUAUAAUCAAGGGGAAGCGCUAAACACAUAGGAUUAUACAGCACCUGGGGGGGAUGUGGAAGGCAUUCAGGCUUGAUUUGGGGAACUGGAGCACAGAUCCAAUUCCCUAAAUCAAGAGCCCCUCACCAACAUCAGGGAACCUUCCCUGAGGGGAUGCAUGAUACAAAUAUAGAUACUAACAUGUAGCCUAAAUGAAAAAAAAAUAUUAUUUACCAUACUGUACUUUUCUUUUAUAUGAAUCUUAGUUUAUUUAUCUACCUUUUUUGCUUUAACAGUAAUUUAGUGUUGGUGAAAACUAGGCAAUACUAAAUUUUAAAAUAGCAUUUUUUA